rnacentral:rRNA from 1 species
AUACGUAGGGGGCGAGCGUUGUCCGGAAUGAUUGGGCGUAAAGGGCGCGUAGGCGGCCCGGUAAGUCUGGAGUGAAAGUCCUGUUUUUAAGAUGGGAAUUGCUUUGGAUACUGUCGGGCUUGAGUGCAGGAGAGGUAAGUGGAAUUCCCAGUGUAGCGGUGAAAUGCGUAGAGAUUGGGAGGAACACCAGUGGCGAAGGCGACUUACUGGACUGUAACUGACGCUGAGGCGCGAAAGCGUGGGGAGCAAACAGGAUUAGAUACCCUGGUAGUCCACGCUGUAAACGAUGAAUACUAGGUGUGGGGGGACUGACCCCCUCCGUGCCGCAGUUAACACAAUAAGUAUUCCACCUGGGGAGUACGAUCGCAAGAUUGAAACUCAAAUGAAUUGGCGGGG